AUGCCGUAAUUAUUGCUCUCCCCCUUUGCCGUGCCGCGUCCCCUAUCCCUCUCCUCCUCCCCAUCCCCACCGCGCAUUUCCCGCGCCUUUAUGGAAACGUAAACAAACAGUGAGAAAGGAAAAUCGGUCACGAUCGGCGUUUCUGCCAAAUACCGAUAAUACCUACUCAUAUGAUUAUUGAUCAGAGGAUUUUAACCAGAAUUUUAGAGUGGACAUCACCGCUUUUCGUUAUUAAUCGCAAGGAACCCGGCCCAGAAAUGUUCUUGACAUGAGCAAGAGAAGUCUAUGGAGUCAUUUUACCCAAAAGAAUAGGUGAGUUGACAUGACAGUAACGGCAACGGCCAACGCUGGUCCAAUUUGUCUCUGUACAGACAC